rnacentral:snRNA from 1 species
AGAUGUGAGGGCAACCUGGCUGCAACAUCUGUAACCCCCUUGAUUGCCAGGAUUGAUUUGGCUGGCUAGGCAGGUGUCCCCUUCCUCCCUUGCUGCCCCACGUGUGUCCCUCCCUAACCUUUGAACCUGGUCAAAGAGGAUGACCUUCCCCGAAUAGAGGAGAACUGGUCUUCGGUCAAGGAACCUCCAAACAAGCUCUCAAAAACAAGCAAACAAACAAAACAAGGAAUGUUUUCCUUUUUUU